UGACGGGUUGUAGCUGGCCUCUCACGAGGCAUGUGCACGCCUGGCUCAUCCACUCUUAACCUCUGUGCACUUUAUGUAAGAGAAAAAAUGGUGGAAGCUUCCAGGAUCUCGCGAGAGGUCUUUGGUUGAACAAGCCGUUUUUCUUUCUUAUGUUUUACUACAAACGCUUCAGUUAUAGAAUGUCAACUGUGUAUAACACAUUUAUAUACAACUUUCAGCAACGGAUCUCUUGGCUCUCGCAUCGAUGAAGAACGCAGCGAAAUGCGAUAAGUAAUGUGAAUUGCAGAAUUCAGUGAAUCAUCGAAUCUUUGAACGCACCUUGCACUCCUUGGUAUUCCGAGGAGUAUGCCUGUUUGAGUCUCAUGGUAUUCUCAACCCCUAAAUUUUUGUAAUGAAGGUUUAGCGGGCUUGGACUUGGAGGUUGUGUCGGCCCUUGUCGGUCGACUCCUCUGAAAUGCAUUAGCGUGAAUCUUACGGAUCGCCUUCAGUGUGAUAAUUAUCUGCGCUGUGGUGUUGAAGUAUUUAUGGUGUUCAUGCUUCGAACCGUCUCCUUGCCGAGACAAUCAUUUGACAAUCUGAGCUCAAAUCAGGUAGGACUACCCGCUGAACUUAAGCAUAUCAAUAA
rnacentral:rRNA from 1 species